rnacentral:rRNA from 1 species
GAUGAACGCUGGCGGCGUGCCUAAUACAUGCAAGUCGAGCGAACAGACGAGGAGCUUGCUCCUCUGACGUUAGCGGCGGACGGGUGAGUAACACGUGGAUAACCUACCUAUAAGACUGGGAUAACUUCGGGAAACCGGAGCUAAUACCGGAUAAUAUAUUGAACCGCAUGGUUCAAUAGUGAAAGACGGUUUUGCUGUCACUUAUAGAUGGAUCCGCGCCGCAUUAGCUAGUUGGUAAGGUAACGGCUUACCAAGGCAACGAUGCGUAGCCGACCUGAGAGGGUGAUCGGCCACACUGGAGCUGGGACACGGUCCAGGCUCCUACGGGAGGCAGCAGUAGGGAAUCUUCCGCAGUGGGCGAAAGCCUGACGGAGCAACGCCGCGUGAGUGAUGAAGGUCUUCGGAUCGUAAAACUCUGUUAUUAGGGAAGAACAAAUGUGUAAGUAACUAUGCACGUCUUGACGGUACCUAAUCAGAAAGCCACGGCUAACUACGUG